UAUAUAAUGUAUAAUAAUGCUUUUUUUUUUUACUUGAAAACUGUGAAAAUUUAAAUACAUUUUUAAGCAGCGUAGGUAAUAUCAGAAUUAACCACAGUAACAGUACUAAUAGAAAUGUCAAUGCUGACUGCUCUUACUAAUGGAAGUGUCAUUACUGCUUUACAAGUACUAGCAUAGUCUGACACACUGGUGUUACAUUUUUUCUUUUAUCAUCUUUUUGUGUUUCAUUUUUAUUUUUGUCACAUGCUUUAUUUCCAGUAAUUCAUCUACAAUUAUACCACUAUUUACAAACCCCAGUCCUUGAACGAACAGUUCAAAUAUGCUGAAUGAAAUGAACUAAUAGUCUACUUCCCCCAGCAUGGCGUGAACACUGAAUUAUCAGUGUUAGCAUUAUGUCUUCUGGAUGAAAUAGGCUAAACUCUUCUGUCCCAAAAGGAUUCAAUCAGAAGCAAACAGAAUGUGGGUAAGUGUGAGUGAGUGAAGACCCCGACUGCAAGAACAUUUACGAAGCAAUCUCAGGCACUAGAUUCAGACUAGCUCAGCAUCCCAGUGCACUGUUUCAGGGUCAAUGCUUUUGCAGAAAGCAGUAAAUCUGAUCCUAGAUCAGCACAUCUAGUUUAAGAUGUCAAAUGAAUACAGAACCAGGAAAUUGUGGUUUUUCACAAAAAUAUUAUUACAUAUUUUAUAAUGCACAAUUUAAUAGCUUUAAUGUUUAUAUAUUAAGUACUGUCCCAAAGUCACAGUGCAACAUUUUGCUUAGUGAGAAGUGCCAUCCCAGUGUUGGAGUAGUCACAAAAGAAAAUGUCCAAUCUAAAUGAAAUUAUGUUUAAAACAUAUGAAAACAAUUUGUUUUCUCCAGUUAUACGAGAAUUCUAACAUGGCCAUUUGAGUAGUAUCAUAAAAGAGGGUUUUAUUGGUUCACUCAGUUGCAUGUCAUUAUCGGUGCAGUGGUCUGCUGUGGGACGCUACUGGAUGCUCUAUCACAACCCAAGACUGCCAUGUCUAGAAGGUCAGAUGAACGUUCCGGAUAACAGAGGAGGCCAUUUUGAGUGUGGACCGGAGGUGGUAUUGAGAUUCCAUAGUGUUACCCACAUGCUCGGUUUAAUUCUGACUGAAUUUACAUGUAAUGUAUACCACCAGGAGGAGAGCCAGGAGCUGGGAUUGGGAUGAUGAGAUUUUGUCAUAAGGUAUUACAGUAAACGCAAACUAAUGUUGCCAUUUGGUAUAAGAUGAAGGAACACUGCGGUCUGAGUUCCUUAAGUGCUGUGAUAUAAAUGCCAUACUGCAGAGCUGGAAGUGUCACACUCCCCAGAAUGAUGACAUGGCUGAUACAUUCACCUUACUGAUACGUUCACAAUCCUGUUGUCAGUUUGGCUCAGUUUUAAGGUGUCUAGAUGCAUUUUUUUUCUGUUUGUCUUGGGUUUUUGCAGCUGAAUAGUGAGUAACCAGAACAUGACUGCAAGCAUCUCAUCAGUCGUGGUAGUGAAGGUGUCAUACCUUGUCACGCCAUUAAUUUGGGUUAUGAAAAUAUCAAAGCCACUCAAAUUCCUUUAGAGGGUUUUACAUGUAGAGCAUGCAUUUCAUUCUUCUUUUCUGCAGCUCACACAGUGGGUUUUGAGUUAUGGUAACCAAAUUAAUCAACCUUAUAUCAAUUGUGCUUUUUCUUAAGCAGGAAAGUCCAUUAGAGAUGUGUGCAAGUUGUGGUAAUAACCUGUAGCCAUGGCAACCAGUAUUAGAGGGUCGGCUAUCACUGCUUUUUGAAUUAUUUUUCUUCUCUUAUGUUAGACAAAUUAUCAUGUCCAAUGCGUUCUGUAGCUUCCAGAAAUAUUGAGAAUUCUGUUUAUACUACAUACAAAGAUAUGUUUAUAUUUAUUUUUGAUCGUGAAUCCUACAUCUAUUAAAGGCCUUAACUCCCUUGGUGGGCGGACCCUCGCAGCAAAUAACUUGAUUGGCCACAACUAUUUCCUUAAAAAGUUUGGCAUCACGUGUAAGGUCACUCGCUGUCCCUCAUUAUAUCUCGUUAAAGGCCUUAAAUCUUCCGCUGAAAGCGGUUAAGAUGUUAUGGACCCCGAUUGAUUUACCGAGGUAGCAGAUGAGCACUUGAGCGUCUGCCAGUGUGCUAGGUGAGCUCUCCGCGAGAUCCUGUAACUUCACCCCGCCAGCGGCAUUAGCUCCGGCGGACAGUUUGUGCGUUUGUUGACGCGGUCACCAAGGAAGCAGCGCGAGUGACAGACACGCACGCUCAGCUGUUCUGCGUCUUCAGCGGGAAUGUUGGGAGAGCGAGAGCUCUGUCGUCAACCGCCCCCAAGCGGAGGUCCAACACUGAACUGCAGUACGGAGACGAACAUAUCUCCAACUUCGCACGUUCUCCUGAUGGAGAGGGAACUCUGAACCAGGCACCAGCUGCUCCCUGCUCCUCCGCCGGGUGAAGGGUUCUCCCAAGGACAGCUUCUCCACUUUAGACACGGCCUCCCUACACACCAAGGGCAGGAGCUACAGACGAGGAAGGGGUACUCCGAGAACUGCACGGUGGUGAUGAAGUCGAGCGCUGCCUCCAUCUCGAAGCUCACCUCAAUCCCCACACUCAAGAAGUCUGUAUCCACCGUCACAUUCCCCACUACCACCAUGGCGCCCCUGUGGAAAGCAUAGAACUGGCUAAGCUUCUGGCCAUUGAGAGCGGUUACAUCGAUCUGGACAUCAGAUGGCAUUUAGCCUGGGGGGGUUGAUGGUAUAAGCAGAUGCUUCUCUUCUCAAAACGCCCGUUCACCUUUAAUGCCCGAUUCAAAAUGGCCGCCAGUCAUAAGUGGGUUGGAAGGUGGAAUGCAGGCUAAACUCCAUGCCUCCAGAGAUAUCAACAGCCAAUCCGCCCUGGAACUCAACAGAGGCCCGCAGACCGGAUUGCAGAGGGAUUGCCUAAGAGAACAAUUCGAUUAUCAGAGAUGUAGAAGAAAUAGGGCCUGAAGCAUACUCUCGGUGGGAUGGGAGGAAAAGCCACAGGCGUACAGGAAACGCUCCUGCAGGACCACACCGUCCGCUUUAUGGAAGUCCAGGAACUCCAGCAUGGCCGAGAGAGAAGCAGGAGUCUGAGCAGAGUUGCGAAGCACUCUGAGGAUGUCAGCCUUGGCGGUGUUGCGGAGACUGUGGAUCAGGGACAGGAAGCUGCGUGGUGCUGAUGCCUUUGACAGGGUAUGAAUGAAAGUGAAGGACCACUCCCAAACACAUCAGUCUGCUUCUGAAGUCUCAUUCUGACCAUGAGAGAAGGAAAAGCCCUUACCUUGCGACGGGACACCGACGAGGGCAGUCGCGCACAGCAGAAAAGCGACGAGUCGCUGCAUGGCCGGCUCGCCGUGUAACCCGUAAAGUUCAGAGAGAAGCUUGACGUGAGGGCGAAAGAGCAGACAGGCGUAUGCGGCACAGAGAGCAGGCCAAGACAUCUGGAAUCGAGUAACAGAAGGGAUGUUGGAAUGCUCACGUGCACAAAAGGACUUCUGAAUUGUUGGUGUUGGCUGAAGGGUUGGGUUUGGUGUAAUGAAGGACCAGUCAGACAACGUUUGUGAGUUUCACGAUGAACACGGUACAUCAAAAUGAAGAGUCGAUACAUAAAGAAAGCUGAUGCCCUACAAAAGUGUGAUCAACAUCACAUCCUGCAGUUUUCCUAAUGUUCUCCAAGAGCACAGCAGAAACCACAACACUUGGGUGCAUAUUGUUGCUCCUUCUAUAACUUUUUUCCUUUACUCUCAAUUGCUCUCAUUUGUACCUCCUGCAAGAACUGUGACCGAGUUAAUAUAAAAUACGUAUGCACCAAGAAAACACCCCACAACAACAUUAUCAACCUUGAUAACUCUAGGAAUGGAGAAACCAACCACCAAGGUUAUCGGUGGAGGCUCAGCAGCAACCAAGGUACCAUCCGGAUUGUCACGCACCUCAAAUGGUUUGCUAUCAUUUUGAAAGCAAACGGACAUUGCUGAUAUUAUUAGUGGAAGAGCUACCAUUUCCUGCAAGAGGCAAUCUACUGUUUGGAUAAGGAACAGAUGUAACAAACCCAAGCAGGUGUACUAGGAACCUAAGCAGAUGUAACAGGCAUAACAGAAACCCAAGUAGCUCAAUGCUUAGUGGCAGUCACAUCCUGUACGUUAGAGCAUGUACAAUGUAGUGCUAGUGGUACUUCUAUAUCUCUCAUAACUAGUUUCUGAGUGAUGCAUUUUUGCCUUGUAACUCCUGAAUCUUAUGUUGAAGUGACUGGACCUUCAGGCAGUCAAAACUGAAGUCAAUUAAGGUGGGGUCCAUAAAAUAAUAAAACAGCAGUAAAAAGCAACAAUCAAAUUAAGAACAACUACGUGAUGUGUAACUCCAACUCGUCCACAGCGGAGCAUGCGCACUGUCUAAGGAGAAUAAUUCUUCUCCCAGGAUUUCUGCCAAAAACAAGAAAGGCAAAAUAAUGAAACAAAGUAACACACUUGUUCACCAAAAAAAAAAGGACUGAGCCAACCUAUCUGAAAAACAGUUAACUAGCCAGAGAAAUCUCAUUAACAAAUCAUUCUAGUAAUGAUGCCAUACCAAUUAUACAAUUUUAAAGUACAUAGCAUCAUGAUAAUAUUUAAGUGUAAAGAGUAUAAUACAUUUUCAAAAAUUAGUUGUAGAGAUUCAACUACAACAAACAAAUUUGUUAAUCUUAGAUGCUAGGUUAGCCAAUAAAAUAUCAGCGCAGCACCAACAGUUAGCCACGAGAGGCUUAACUGACAAUAAAGAACAAAGUUUGUACCAUGAUUGGAUACAGCCAUCACAAAGCAAACUAUACAAGCACUACAAAUAAUUGAAAGGCAUAUCAUGCAUCUUAGAACUUUCCAUAAAAUUGCAUUUUAAAACAACCAAAUAAAAUACAAUUUCCGGACCAAAGAACCAGUGUUUGCUCCAGGAAGUCGACCUCAUUAAAAGUGAGUGUGCCAGAAUGGUAAAGGCCAAAUUGUUUUACUGUUCUUUCCAAUAACAAGGACAGAGCUCCUCUUUCAUAGACCCUCACUGGGGCCAUCCUUGAUUACUGAUCUCAGCUUCUGUGAACAUCCUGUUGCUGUUAUCAGUCAAAGGUGGUGUGCUCCACAAGUUCAUCUCCUGUCGUCUGAAAUGUAUCCUUUGACUCAUCUGGAUGAGUAUGGAGAGAACUGAACAAACAAAAGAUCUACAUGUAGCUAGUUUUGCCAUUUGAUACAUGUAGCCCAUAUCCUACCAUAUCCGAACCACAGAGGCUGGUCCAAGGGUUACUGUCUCAUCUUUUUUCACUUAAUAGCAUCAGUUACUCUAUUUAAACUCACUGAACCAAAUGCUUAGUGUGAAGUUGUCAUGCAACCAGUUUCUCCCAGGUCAGCCAACAUUAAAUAUCACAUUUCCCCAAAUCCCAUUCACAGAAAGGUGCAACAUUCCACCAAACAAUCAAUUACUUGUUCAUCCUCACCUUUAAGUCACCUGUUUCUUAUUAUCCAUGCUUAUGUAAACCUGUCUGUUUCUUAGCCUCUCUGGGAAGUAGUGCUUAUACUCUGCCUUGUGUGUACUGAGUGGUUUCUUGUCUUUGCCCCUGUUGUGCUUUUUGGAUUUUUCCAGCUUGUUUCUUGCUUUGGAUUUAUUUACCUGGUUGUAUUUUUCCCUUUUGUUAUUGGAUUUUUUUUUUUUGACUGACUCCCUCGCUGGCAUUUUGGAUUCUCCCUCUAACUACAUUCUCUGUAUGAACAAAUUUCUUUCCUUUAUCCGUACAUGUCUUACCUGUUCUGUCCAUUACAGAAGCAUCGGUGGCAC